GAUGAACGCUAGCGGCAGGCUUAAUACAUGCAAGUCGUGGGGCAGCAUGAGUAGCAAUACUUGAUGGCGACCGGCAAACGGGUGAGGAACACGUACACAACCUUCCUUCAAGCGGGGAAUAGCCCAGAGAAAUUUGGAUUAAUACCCCAUAAUAUAUUUGAUAAGGCAUCUUAUUAAUAUUAAAGCUUCGGCACUUGAUGAUGGGUGUGCGGCUGAUUCGAUAGUUGGCGGGGUAACGGCCCACCAAGUCUACGAUCAGUAGCUGAUGUGAGAGCAUGAUCAGCCACACGGGCACUGAGACACGGGCCCGACUCCUACGGGAGGCAGCAGUAAGGAAUAUUGGACAAUGGACGAAAGUCUGAUCCAACCAUGCCGCGUGAAGGAUUAAGGUCCUCUGGAUUGUAAACUUCUUUUAUAUGGGACGAAAAAAGGGCAUUCUUGUUCACUUGACGGUACCAUAUGAAUAAGCACCGGCUAACUCCGUG
rnacentral:rRNA from 1 species